rnacentral:rRNA from 1 species
AGUGAACGCUGGCGGUAGGCCUAACACAUGCAAGUCGAACGGCAGCACAGUAAGAGCUUGCUCUUACGGGUGGCGAGUGGCGGACGGGUGAGGAAUACAUCGGAAUCUACUUUUUCGUGGGGGAUAACGUAGGGAAGCUUACGCUAAUACCGCAUACGACCUACGGGUGAAAGCAGGGGAUCUUCGGACCUUGCGCGAUUGAAUGAGCCGAUGUCGGAUUAGCUAGUUGGCGGGGUAAAGGCCCACCAAGGCGACGAUCCGUAGCUGGUCUGAGAGGAUGAUCAGCCAAACUGGAACUGAGACACGGUCCAGACUCCUACGGGAGGCAGCAGUGGGGAAUAUUGGACAAUGGGCGCAAGCCUGAUCCAGCCAUACCGCGUGGGUGAAGAAGGCCUUCGGGUUGUAAAGCCCUUUUGUUGGGAAAGAAAAGCAGCAGGUUAAUACCCCGCUGUUCUGACGGUACCCAAAGAAUAAGCACCGGCUAACUUCGUG